GAAUUGGGUGGCAAUCAGAGAAUUCAUUUUUUCCUGUUUUGUUUUCUCUGCUGAAGUGUGUUUUCUGCUCUGCUGGCUGCAGAGAAAAGCUUAGAGGAGAGGAAUGAAUCAUAAAUACGGAAGAAAUAAAUGAACCUCAGAGCUACUUUUAAUUUUACGAUUUUGUGGCUAAUCUCUUGGUUUGGGGCCAAAAGGGACAGAGAGGAAGUUGUCACACGUCUUUUAACUCCAGGACUUGGUGGUGUUUUAUUCUUAUUUGACUGGCAGUAAGGAUUAGAACAUUACAUUAAAGUCUAUAACAAACCUGAACCCUUGGGACUUGUUUGCUGCACAUUGCUGUUUAAUAUCCCGGUAUUGCACUCUUUUUGCCUGUAGCUGGUAGAGCCCGCAGGAGAGGACUCUGGUAGCAACCUUCGCACUGCGCAUCACCUGAGCGUGCUGGGGGCAAACCUGAUCAAUACGUGAGGGCAAAGUCCUCUCCCUAGAGCAGAAGCAAGCGAAUCUGUAGCAAACCAAGACAUCAGUGAAAUGAUUCAAAUGCUUUGGGUUUUGUUUUCUUCCACCGAUCUCCCUUCCAGUCAGGCGAUCAGUGGAGAAAGGAGAGGAACAGACCAAACAGCCCCAGGGAGGAAGCUCUUGGAAGACUUCCCUGGAUGUCAUUCCCUCCUCUCUCUGAAAUGCCAGCUCCGUCCCCGGGCUCUAACAGCGUUACUGAAACCUCCCCAGUGUUGCCAGAAUGUGCUGGAGGAGCCAGAUGAGCUGUCAACGAGUAGGUAUCAGGCAAACAGCCUUUGCACGGGGCAGUUGCACUUUUUUGGACAAGGAGGGCAGGCUGCGUGGAGGGCAGAGUCAGUGGCUGCUGUGAGGGCUGCAGGGGAGCUACGUGGGCUCUGCCCAGUCUUGCAACAGGGACCACGCACCGUGCCAAAGCCUUGUGUGCACAUGGGAAGGACUGCAGGUAUGAAAAGAACGUAGAGAUGUGGAGAAAAAAAAAAAAAAAGAAUUUAGGGAGCAGGAAUGCUGCAGACAUCCAACAACCCGUGGAAUCGAGGAGCUAGCCCUGGCUCGGUCCUGCAGGAUGCCCAGUCCCCAAGGACUGAGGUAGCAGCCAAGGCCGUGGCUGCUCCCCAGGGCCUCUCCCCGCCCCCUGAGCUCACUUGGGUGUCUUCAGCCCAGGAUCUCCCAGGGAGAAAUUUGGGGCCUUGCUCAGGAACAGAUGGUCUCCCUCGUGGGCCCCAUCUGCCAGGCAACACUGGAGCAGUUGCUCUCUGCAGUGCCGAGCAGAAUCUUGUUUACUUUCCCCUCGUGUCAGCAAGGUGAUGUGUAGGGAAACCAAGCCCUGCUGUUGCCAGCCCCGAUUUCCAGGAGCUGCAAGGUGCAAGAGCAAAACCCAAGAGACACCUCUGCGAGGGCCAGGCAACGUGGCAUCCACCAGCACAGAUCCAAGGUGGAGUCUGGCCAAGAAGAG
rnacentral:lncRNA from 1 species